rnacentral:rRNA from 1 species
UUCCUACGGGAGGCAGCAGUAGGGAAUCUUCCGCAAUGGACGAAAGUCUGACGGAGCAACGCCGCGUGAGUGAUGAAGGCUUUCGGGUCGUAAAACUCUGUUGUUAGGGAAGAACAAGUACGAGAGUAACUGCUCGUACCUUGACGGUACCUAACCAGAAAGCCACGGCUAACUACGUGCCAGCAGCCGCGGUAAUACGUAGGUGGCAAGCGUUAUCCGGAAUUAUUGGGCGUAAAGCGCGCGCAGGCGGUUUCUUAAGUCUGAUGUGAAAGCCCACGGCUCAACCGUGGAGGGUCAUUGGAAACUGGGGAACUUGAGUGCAGAAGAGAAAAGCGGAAUUCCACGUGUAGCGGUGAAAUGCGUAGAGAUGUGGAGGAACACCAGUGGCGAAGGCGGCUUUUUGGUCUGUAACUGACGCUGAGGCGCGAAAGCGUGGGGAGCAAACAGGAUUAGAUACCCUGGUAGUCC